CGAACGCUGGCGGCGUGCCUAAUACAUGCAAGUAGAACGCUGAAGAGAGGAGCUUGCUCUUCUUGGAUGAGUUGCGAACGGGUGAGUAACGCGUAGGUAACCUGCCUGGUAGCGGGGGAUAACUAUUGGAAACGAUAGCUAAUACCGCAUAAAAUGGAUUAUCGCAUGAUAAUCAAUUGAAAGGUGCAAAUGCAUCACUACCAGAUGGACCUGCGUUGUAUUAGCUAGUUGGUGGGGUAACGGCUCACCAAGGCGACGAUACAUAGCCGACCUGAGAGGGUGAUCGGCCACACUGGGACUGAGACACGGCCCAGACUCCUACGGGAGGCAGCAGUAGGGAAUCUUCGGCAAUGGACGGAAGUCUGACCGAGCAACGCCGCGUGAGUGAAGAAGGUUUUCGGAUCGUAAAGCUCUGUUGUAAGAGAAGAACGAGUGUGAGAGUGGAAAGUUCACA
rnacentral:rRNA from 1 species